AUUGAACGCUGGCGGCAGGCCUAACACAUGCAAGUCGAGCGGCAGCGGGAAAGUAGCUUGCUACUUUUGCCGGCGAGCGGCGGACGGGUGAGUAAUGCCUGGGAAAUUGCCCAGUCGAGGGGGAUAACAGUUGGAAACGACUGCUAAUACCGCAUACGCCCUACGGGGGAAAGCAGGGGACCUUCGGGCCUUGCCCCAUUGGAUAUGCCCAGGUGGGAUUAGCUAGUUGGUGAGGUAAUGGCUCCCCAAGGCGACGAGCCCUAGCUGGUCUGAGAGGAUGAUCAGCCACACUGGAACUGAGACACGGUCCAGACUCCUACGGGAGGCAGCAGUGGGGAAUAUUGCACAAUGGGGGAAACCCUGAUGCAGCCAUGCCGCGUGUGUGAAGAAGGCCUUCGGGUUGUAAAGCACUUUCAGCGAGGAGGAAAGGUUGAUGCCUAAUACGUAUCAACUGUGACGUUACUCGCAGAAGAAGCACCGGCUAACUCCGUGCCAGCAGCCGCCGCCGUAA
rnacentral:rRNA from 1 species